AUGUCAUGGUGUGGGCAUUUUCUUAACAUUGCUUUUAAUCUUUCCCAAGNCUGUCAGUCUGCAAGAAAUUAGAGAUGUCUUGUCUUAACUU
rnacentral:snoRNA from 1 species